ACAAAAACAAAACAAAAAU
rnacentral:sRNA from 1 species